rnacentral:rRNA from 1 species
GGUUAAGCGACUAAGCGUACACGGUGGAUGCCCUGGCAGUCAGAGGCGAUGAAGGGCGUGCUAAUCUGCGAUAAGCGCCGGUAAGGUGAUAUGAACCGUUAUAACCGGCGAUACCCGAAUGGGGAAACCCAGUGUGACUCGUCACACUAUCAUUAACUGAAUCCAUAGGUUAAUGAGGCGAACCGGGGGAACUGAAACAUCUAAGUACCCCGAGGAAAAGAAAUCAACCGAGAUUCCCCCAGUAGCGGCGAGCGAACGGGGAGGAGCCCAGAGCCUGAAUCAGCAUGUGUGUUAGUGGAAGCGUCUGGAAAGGCGCGCGAUACAGGGUGACAGCCCCGUACACAAAAGCGCAUGUGCUGUGAGCUCGAUGAGUAGGGCGGGACACGUGGUAUCCUGUCUGAAUAUGGGGGGACCAUCCUCCAAGGCUAAAUACUCCUGACUGACCGAUAGUGAACCAGUACCGUGAGGGAAAGGCGAAAAGAACCCCGGCGAGGGGAGUGAAAAAGAACCUGAAACCGUGUACGUACAAGCAGUGGGAGCACAGGUUUACCUGUGUGACUGCGUACCUUUUGUAUAAUGGGUCAGCGACUUAUAUUCUGUAGCAAGGUUAACCGAAUAGGGGAGCCGGAGGGAAACCGAGUCUUAAUUGGGCGUUAAGUUGCAGGGUAUAGACCCGAAACCCGGUGAUCUAGCCAUGGGCAGGUUGAAGGUUGGGUAACACUAACUGGAGGACCGAACCGACUAAUGUUGAAAAAUUAGCGGAUGACCUGUGGCUGGGGGUGAAAGGCCAAUCAAACCGGGAGAUAGCUGGUUCUCCCCGAAAGCUAUUUAGGUAGCGCCUCGUGAAUUCAUCUCCGGGGGUAGAGCACUGUUUCGGCUAGGGGGCCAUCCCGGCUUACCAACCCGAUGCAAACUGCGAAUACCGGAGAAUGUUAUCACGGGAGACACACGGCGGGUGCUAACGUCCGUCGUGAAGAGGGAAACAACCCAGACCGCCAGCUAAGGUCCCAAAGUCAUGGUUAAGUGGGAAACGAUGUGGGAAGGCCCAGACAGCCAGGAUGUUGGCUUAGAAGCAGCCAUCAUUUAAAGAAAGCGUAAUAGCUCACUGGUCGAGUCGGCCUGCGCGGAAGAUGUAACGGGGCUAAACCAUGCACCGAAGCUGCGGCAGC